UAUUAUUAUCUUCAAGAAAUGUUUGCAGCCGCACAUUAACCAUUUUCUCUAGCAGUUUUCCCAAGCAAGACGUUAAACUAAUUGGGCGAUAACUUUGUGCCAGCAACGGAUCUUUUCCAGGUUUCGGUAUAGGAAUGACAACGGCCUGUUUCCAUUCCGAGGGGAGUACAGUGAUGAAACAUCUGGUUGUGGAUUUCGUCUUCUCCCGGUGAACAUGACUUGGUGUUACGGAUAGCGAUAUUCAACUCUUCUAAGACGACCACCACGGAACCAUUUUUGUUUUAUUGCCAGGUUUGGAUUUUGGAAUACUGGCGUUCGCAGCAUCUAAUAUAGCAGAUGUAAGAGUUUUUAAACUUAAGCUAUCUAGGGCUGGAGGGACGAACUUACUUGCAAAAAGUUCCCAAUCUGC